CCCUUAGAUGUCCUGGGCGGCCCGCGCGCUACAAUGUCAGCUACUGAAGGUUAAUGCUUUGAAAGAGAGCGCGCUCUCCUUUUAAUUGCUCGCAUGCUGGGAUAAAUGAAUGCAAUUUUGUUUUGAACGAGGAAUUCCUAGUAGCCAUGUUUCACUAGAAGAUGGCGAAUGCGUCCCUGCCCUUUGUACACACCGCCCGUCGCUCCUACCGAUGAGCGUUUUGGCGAAGACGGUUUGAGUAGCUGCGUAAUUUCGUGUUGUUGACUCCGGCAGUUUGAGCCUUCACGUUGAGAGGAAGGAGAAGUCGUAACA
rnacentral:rRNA from 1 species